GAAUAGAAUUGCUCUUAGAUAACCCAGAAGGGACCCUAGCACUCAAUGGUUUAUCAUCUUCAGAAUCCUCAGCUUCAUCAUUAGGUUCAGAUUUUGGUUCAAUAGCUUGCUUCGACUCCUUAGGAGCAAUAUUGGAUUGUUGAUUAACAUUUUUUGCCUGAUUACCUGCAGAAGAUGACGGCCUUGAGUUCGGUGCAGGAGAUGUCCUGGAGUUUGGUGCAGGAGGUGUCCUGGAGUUUGGUGCAGGAGAUGUCCUGAAGUUUGGUGCAGGAGAUGUCCUGCUUGACAGAGGCGCUGCUUUCGGACUGGUUAAAGGUGAAACUGCUGGAGAUGCCUUAGAAGAGGCGGCUGUCUUAACUUUAUGAGUACUAGAGCUCUGGCCAUUAGGAGAACGUACAUCAGGAACUUGCCGCCCCGAUCUUCCAUCCUGCUUCUGAGAUGAUGAAUUGGACUGAUUCUGCUUUGAUGUGG
rnacentral:lncRNA from 1 species